rnacentral:rRNA from 1 species
AUUGAACGCUGGCGGCAUGCUUUACACAUGCAAGUCGAACGGUAACAGGCCGCAAGGUGCUGACGAGUGGCGAACGGGUGAGUAAUGCAUCGGAACGUGCCCAGUCGUGGGGGAUAACUACUCGAAAGAGUAGCUAAUACCGCAUACGAUCUAUGGAUGAAAGCGGGGGACCGUAAGGCCUCGCGCGAUUGGAGCGGCCGAUGUCAGAUUAGGUAGUUGGUGGGGUAAAGGCUCACCAAGCCAACGAUCUGUAGCUGGUCUGAGAGGACGACCAGCCGCACUGGGACUGAGACACGGCCCAGACUCCUACGGGAGGCAGCAGUGGGGAAUUUUGGACAAUGGGCGCAAGCCUGAUCCAGCAAUGCCGCGUGCAGGAAGAAGGCCUUCGGGUUGUAAACUGCUUUUGUACGGAACGAAACGGCUCUGGUUAAUACCCGGGGCUAAUGACGGUACCGUAAGAAUAAGCACCGGCUAACUACGUG